CUGAACGCUGGCGGCGUGGCUAAGACAUGCAAGUCGUACGGUGUAGCAAUACACAGUGGCGGAAGGGUGAGUAAUGGAUCGCUAACGUACCCCAGAGUCUGGGAUAGCCGGGGGAAACCCCGGGUAAUACCAGAUGAAAUAACCUGCAGGCAUCUGCGGGGUUCUCAAAGGGCAACCGCUCUGGGCGCGGGCGAUUUCGUAUCAGCUAGUUGGUGAGGUAACGGCUCACCAAGGCGAUGACGCGUAGCCGGGCUGAGAGGUCGUCCGGCCACAUUGGGACUGAGACACUGCCCAGACUCCUACGGGGGGCUGCAGUAACGAAUAUUGGUCAAUGGGCGCAAGCCUGAACCAGCGACGCCGCGUGGAGGUUAAGUCCUUCGGGAUGUAAACUCCUGUCAGGGGAAAGAAAGUUCUGAUCUACCCCAGAGGAAGUGGCGGCUAACUCUGUGCCAGCAGCCGCGGUAAGACAGAGGCCACAAGCGUUAGGCGGAAUCACUGGGCUUAAAGCGUGUGUAGGCGGCGGGCUAAGUACCUUGUGAAAUCCCACGGCUCAACCGUGGAACUGCUUGGUAUACUGGCCCGCUUGAGUGACCUAGGGGCAGCCGGAACAGACGGUGGAGCGGUGAAAUGCGUAGAUAUCGUCUGGAACGCCAACGGUGAAGACAGGCUGCUGGGGGUCUACUGACGCUGAGACACGAAAGCCAGGGGAGCAAACGGGAUUAGAUACCCCGGUAGUCCUGGCCCUAAACGAUGUCGACUAGAUCGCAGUCCCUCUGACGGGAUUGCGGUCGAAGCAAAAGUGCUAAGUCGACCGCCUGGGAAGUACGGUCGCAAGGCUAAAACUCAAAGGAAUUGACGGGAGCUCACACAAGCGGUGGAGCAUGUGGUUCAAUUCGAAGCAACGCGCAGAACCUUACCUGGGCUUGACAUGCCAGGAUUAUCCCCAUGAAAGUGGGGUAGGCCCUUCGGGGUACAACUGGUACAGGUGCUGCAUGGCUGUCGUCAGCUCGUGUCGUGAGAUGUUGGGUUAAGUCCCUAACGAGCGCAACCUCUGCCCUUAGUUACCAGCAGGGUCAUUGGGGCACUCUAAGGGGACUGCCGGUGAUAAACCGCGAGGAAGGUGGAGAUGACGUCAAGUCCUCAUGGCCCUUACUGCCAUGGGCCACACACGUGCUACAAUGGCGUGACAUGAGCGAACCUAAAGGCGCGAGGUCCUGAGCUAAUCGCGAAAAUCACGCCCAGUCUCAGAUUCGGAUUGCCUCUGCAACUCGCCUGCAGUGAAGUUGGAAUCGCUAGUAAUCGGGAUCAGCUACGCCAGCGGUGAAUACGUGUUCCUGAGCCUUGUACACACCGCCCGUCACAGCCAUGGGAGUUGGGAAUUGGCCGAAGGUGCGCCUAACCCCAGGGGGCAGCCUACGCACGUAGGCUCAGCGA
rnacentral:rRNA from 1 species